rnacentral:rRNA from 1 species
UACAGAGGGGGCAAGCGUUGUUCGGAAUUACUGGGCGUAAAGGGCGCGUAGGCGGCCUUCUAAGUCGAACGUGAAAUCCCCGGGCUCAACCCGGGAACUGCGUCCGAUACUGGGAGGCUUGAAUCCGGGAGAGGGAUGUGGAAUUCCAGGUGUAGCGGUGAAAUGCGUAGAUAUCGGGAGGAACACCGGUGGCGAAGGCGGGUCUCUAGGCCGACACUGACGCUGAGGAGCGAAAGCGUGGGGAGCGAACAGG